rnacentral:lncRNA from 1 species
CAUGCUAUAGAUCAAGGGGUUCAGCACAGGGGUGAUGAAUGUGUAAACCACAGACACUACCUGGCCCCUCUCCGGAGAGUAGCUGGAGCUGGGGCACAGGUAGAUGAGGCUUCCACAUCCAUACUGGAGCACGACCACAGUCAGGUGGGAGGAGCAGGUGGAGAAGGCCUUUUGCCUCCCCUCUGCAGGGCGGAUCUUCAGGAUGGCAGACACAAUGAAGGCAUAGGACAGAGUGAUCAGCAGGAAGGGGAUGGUGAGGACAGUGACACUGACCACAAACAGAGUGGCCUCAUGGACAUGAGUAUCUGCACAGGCCAGUCUCAUGACAGGGAGGACAUCACAAUAGAACAGGCUGACUUCUUUGCUGCUACAGAAGGGGAGUUGGAAGAUGAGCACAGUCAGCUGCAUGGCCAAGAUGAACCCAAGCAUCAGAGAUCCCAGGGACAGCUGAACACACAACCGCCAGCUCAUCAUGAGAGUGUAAUGCAAAGGGUGACAGAUGGCCACAAACCGGUCAUAGGCCAUGAUGGCCAGCAGAAUGCAGUCAGCGCUACCCAGGAAGAUGAAGAAGAACAUCUGGGUGCCACAGCCAGGCAGGGAGAUGAGGGUUCUCUCUGGGGACAGGAUGCUGGCCAGAGUCAGAGGGGCAAUGGUGGAAGAGUAGCAGACCUCCAGAGCUGCCAAGUUGGCCAGGAAGAAGUACAUGGGGGUGUGGAGAGAAUGGUUGAUCCAGAUGAUGAGAGAAAUGGAGACGUUGCCGCUGAUGCUGACCAGGAGGAUUAAAUAGAGACACACUCCAGCAAAGCAAUGUGGCUCCAAAGAUUGUUUUCCUGGCCAAGAGCAAAGAUCAGGAAUGGUGAGCUCUGGAUUUCACUACAAAAAAAAUACCAUUAAGUCAUUUGGGUUUUACUAUUCUUUUUUGAAGUCUGUUAGUUUUUAGGUCAAACUCACCUUGGUAAUAAUUAAAUCUUAAAAUAUAUCUAAAAGAACUUGUGCU